rnacentral:miRNA from 1 species
GGUGUGGCCUUGUCAAAGGAAGUGUGUCACUGGGGGUGGGCUUUGAGGUUUCAGAAGUUCAAAUCAAACCCACUGUCACUCUCUCUUCUGCUGCUUGCUGAUCC